UACGAAGGGAGCUAGCGUUGUUCGGAAUUACUGGGCGUAAAGGGCGCGUAGGCGGUUCGGCAAGUUGGAUGUGAAAGCCCAGGGCUCAACCCUGGAAUUGCAUUCAAGACUGUUUUACUUGAAUUCGGUAGAGGUGAGUGGAAUUCCCAGUGUAGAGGUGAAAUUCGUAGAGAUUGGGAAGAACACCGGUGGCGAAGGCGGCUCACUGGACCGACAUUGACGCUGAGGCGCGAAAGCGUGGGGAGCAAACAGG
rnacentral:rRNA from 1 species